GACAGAGGGUGCAAACGUUGUUCGGAAUUACUGGGCGUAAAGCGCGUGUAGGCGGCUAUGUAAGUCGGGCGUGAAAUCCCACGGCUCAACCGUGGAAGUGCACCCGAAACUGCGUAGCUAGAGUCCUGGAGAGGAAGGUGGAAUGCUUGGUGUAGAGGUGAAAUUCGUAGAUAUCAAGCGGAACACCGGUGGCGAAGGCGGCCUUCUGGACAGUGACUGACGCUGAGACGCGAAAGCGUGGGGAGCCAAACAGG
rnacentral:rRNA from 1 species